rnacentral:tRNA from 1 species
UGUUCUGUGGCUCAGUUGGUUAAAGUGCCGGACGAAGUCGUGGGUUCGAAUCCCGCCAGAAUGC